rnacentral:rRNA from 1 species
GAUGAACGCUGGCGGCGUGCCUAAUACAUGCAAGUCGAGCGAACGGGCGAGAAGCUUGCUUCUCUGAUGUUAGCGGCGGACGGGUGAGUAACACGUGGAUAACCUACCUAUAAGACUGGGAUAACUUCGGGAAACCGGAGCUAAUACCGGAUGAUAUUUUGAACCGCAUGGUUCAAAAGUGAAAGACGGUCUUGCUGUCACUUAUAGAUGGAUCCGCGCUGCAUUAGCUAGUUGGUAAGGUAACGGCUUACCAAGGCAACGAUGCAUAGCCGACCUGAGAGAGUGAUCGGCCACACUGGAACUGAGACACGGUCCAGACUCCUACGGGAGGCAGCAGUAGGGAAUGUUCCGCAAUGGGCGAAAGCCUGACGGAGCAACGCCGCGUGAGUGAUGAAGGUCUUCGGAUCGUAAAACUCUGUUAUUAGGGAAGAACAUAUGUGUAAGUAACUGUGCACAUCUUGACGGUACCUAAUCAGAAAGCCACGGCUAACUACGUG